rnacentral:rRNA from 1 species
UACGUAGGGUGCGAGCGUUGUCCGGAUUUAUUGGGCGUAAAGCGCGUGUAGGCGGUUCGGUAAGUCUGCUGUGAAAGUCGGGGGGCUCAACCCUCGAAUGCCGGUGGAUACUGUCGGACUAGAGUGCGGAAGAGGCGAGUGGAAUUCCUGGUGUAGCGGUGAAAUGCGCAGAUAUCAGGAGGAACACCAAUUGCGAAGGCAGCUCGCUGGGACGUUAACUGA